UUUUGGAACGGAGGGAGUAUG
rnacentral:miRNA from 1 species